rnacentral:rRNA from 1 species
ACGUAGGUGGCGAGCGUUGUCCGGAUUUACUGGGCGUAAAGGGAGCGUAGGUGGUCUUUUAAGUGGGGUGUGAAAUCCCUGGGCUUAACCCAGGAAUUGCAUUCCAUACUGGAAGACUAGAGUGCAGGAGAGGAAAGUGGAAUUCCAAGUGUAGCGGUGAAAUGCGUAGAGAUUUGGAGGAACACCAGUGGCGAAGGCGACUUUCUUGACUGUAACUGACACUGAGGCUCGAGAGCGUGGGGGAGCAAACAGGAUUAGAUACCCUGGUAGUCCACGCUGUAAACGAUGAAUACUAGGUGUUGGGGGCGAAGCCCUCAGUGCCGCAGUUAACACAUUAAGUAUUCCGCCUGGGGAUACGAUCGCAAGAUUA